rnacentral:piRNA from 1 species
UUUAUUGGGGCAAUGUCUACAUAGGA